GGUUUCGUGGCCCAGUGGUAAGGACACUUGCCUCUCACCCUGGAGUCUCAGGUUCGAUCCACAGACGAGGAGCGCUCA